AGAGGCGGGCGCGCGGCGGCGGGGCAGCGUCUAGGCCCGGCGGGGUGGAGCGAUGCCCACACGGCCGGCGCGCGGCCCCGCCUCCCAGGGCGGCAGCGGAGACGGAAGGGUCCCGGUGGGAGGUGACUCCAGGAGGCGCAGUUCUGUGUAAGCAGCAGAGUGCCGUGGCGCCUUACAGCCUAGCAGACGUAUUGGAGCAUGAGCUCCGGUGGGUGAAUACCCGCUGCGUGGGAUGUUGUGUUUGUUACCAGCACUUGGCAGCUGCGCACAGCGCUGCUGGUCAGUCUCACCGGCGGAGGAAACGCUCGCUCUCCGGCUUUUACAAAUGGGGAAACUGAGGCACGGAGCCUUGGCUUGGGCCACGCAGAGCGCGGAGAAGGCAACAGGCCGGAGUUCCUGUCCUCUAUUUCGUAAGCACUGGACACUGCCUCCCUUCUUGCAGUGCCAUUAGCCUCACCAGUCCAUGAUGUUAGUAGACAAAGCUGCCGAAAAACCCAGAAUGUUGAAACUGAUUUCAGUGGCUGUACAUAGAGCUAAUCCUCCCAUGACAGGAAUGAGAGACAGAUUCACCAGCAAUCCUGUAAGUGAAAAAAAUAAAUUAAAAAUUGGCUUUAAACCAGAGCUGUGUGAGUAAUGGAUUUUUAUGUUUGCUAGCAGUUCCAAAUUAAAAAAAAAUCAUUUUUGGUCAACACAAAAACUAAUUUUGGGGGAAUUUCAGCAAAAGGAAAAAGUUGAAAAAUAAUUGUUUCAGAUUGAACAAAAUGUUCUGUUCUACAUAAAACUGUGUUUCUAUUUUGAGUAUUUAAUGUUUUUGCAUCUUUUAAAAUAAAAUUGAAGGUAAUUUCAAAAUGAAAAGCUGUUUAAACUCAAAAAAAUCAAAAUGUUUCAUUUCAAAAAUGUCAAAAUGAAUCAUUGUAUGCAGUACUAUUGUAGCCCUGUCAGUCCCAGGAAAUUAGCGAGACACGGUGGGUGAGAUAACAACUUUUAUUGGACCAGCUUCUGUUGGUGACAGAGACAAGCUUCCAAGCUUAUACAGAGCUCUUCUUUGGGUCUGAUUUUUCCAGAAUAUAUCCUGGUUAUAAUAUAUUUUGUACCAUGUGUGCCUUGUGAGGUGUCACUGGAAAUGUCAUAAUCUGUGGCCAUUACUGUCCUGUUGAAAUAUGUGUGUCAUUGUAUAUGAAGUUAUAAAACUUUGCUGUGUUUGUUA